GACGAACGCUGGCGGCGUGCUUAACACAUGCAAGUCGAACGGAAAGGCCCUGCUUUUGUGGGGUGCUCGAGUGGCGAACGGGUGAGUAACACGUGAGUAACCUGCCCUUGACUUUGGGAUAACUUCAGGAAACUGGGGCUAAUACCGGAUAGGAGCUCCUGCUGCAUGGUGGGGGUUGGAAAUUUUCGGCGGUUGGGGAUGGACUCGCGGCUUAUCAGCUUGCUGGUGGGGGAGUGGCUUACCAAGGCUUUGACGGGUAGCCGGCCUGGGAGGGUGACCGGCCACAUUGGGACUGAGAUACGGCCCAGACUCCUACGGGAGGCAGCAGUGGGGAAUAUUGCACAAUGGGCGGAAGCCUGAUGCAGCAACGCCGCGUGCGGGAUGACGGCCUUCGGGUUGUAAACCGCUUUCGCCUGUGACGAAGCGUGAGUGACGGUAAUGGGUAAAGAAGCACCGGCUAACUACGUG
rnacentral:rRNA from 1 species